CAUUUAAACCCCACACAGUAAAUGACUGAAUGAUUUUAGCUUUUCUAACUUGGGUUUCAACUUGUCGCUUGCUUGGUUAUUCAUCAUUAAUCAAACAGUUGUUGUUACCUCUAUGUCCUGUAAAGCUAACUCUGGCUGCUUUACCAUCUGGAUCAUGCAAAUAUGUUCUAGUUAUUACAACCAAUAACCACCAAACACCAUCAAGUCAGAUAUUUCAAAGCUCCUCCCUGGCACUAAUCUCUGGUCAUUUACAUAAAUGGGCUCUUUUUGCAUAUUCACACAUGGCUGAUAUUUCCUCACUGAACUGCUGAACACAUAAGUGAUUCCAUUUCCACUACAUACUUCACUGCUGAGCCUUUGCAACCACACAGAAGCAAGAUGAUCUCAAAGACUCCCCUUCUCUGGCUGCUGCUUUUCUGGUUUCAGGGUUCCAGUGGGCAGAUUGUGCUGACUCAGACCCCAGAAUCCCUGGCCGUGUCUCCAGGAGACAGAGUCACCAUCAACUGCAAAGCCAGUUCAAGCAUUGGUGGUGCUAUAGCCUGGUACCAACAGAAAUCAGGACAAACUCCUAAGCUCCUUAUCUACAGUGCUUCCACCCGUCCCUCUGGGAUCCCAGACCGGUUCAGUGGCAGUGGGUCUGGCACUGACUACACAUUCACCAUCAGCAGGGUUGAAACUGAUGAUGCUGGAAAUUAUUACUGUCAGCAGUAUAACAACUUCCCUUUCACACAGUGA